UACGUAGGGCGCAAGCGUUAUCCGGAAUUAUUGGGCGUAAAGAGCUCGUAGGCGGUUUGUCGCGUCUGCCGUGAAAGUCCGGGGCUCAACUCCGGAUCUGCGGUGGGUACGGGCAGACUAGAGUACAGAAGGGGCAACUGGAAUUCUCGGUGUAGCGGUGAAAUGCGUAGAUAUCGAGAGGAACACCUGCGGCGAAGGCGGGUUGCUGGGCUGAUACUGACGCUGAGGCGCGAAAGCCAGGGGAGCGAACGGG
rnacentral:rRNA from 1 species